rnacentral:tRNA from 1 species
CAGAGAAUAGUUUAAAAAAAAUUUUAAUUUUGGAGAUUAAUGAUAGGAAGUCGGUCUUUUCUCUGA